AUUGAACGCUGGCGGAAUGCUUUACACAUGCAAGUCGAACGGUAGAGGGGGCAACCCCUUGAGAGUGGCGAACGGGUGAGUAAUAUAUCGGAACGUGCCCAGUCGUGGGGAUAACGUAGCGAAAGUUACGCUAAUACCGCAUACGAUCUACGGAUGAAAGCGGGGGAUCGCAAGACCUCGCGCGAUUGGAGCGGCCGAUAUCAGAUUAGGUAGUUGGUGAGGUAAAGGCUCACCAAGCCGACGAUCUGUAGCUGGUCUGAGAGGACGACCAGCCACACUGGGACUGAGACACGGCCCAGACUCCUACGGGAGGUAGCAGUGGGGAAUUUUGGACAAUGGGCGCAAGCCUGAUCCAGCAAUGCCGCGUGCGGGAUGAAGGCCUUCGGUUGUAACUAGCUUUG
rnacentral:rRNA from 1 species